rnacentral:rRNA from 1 species
AGGACGAACGCUGGCGGCGUGCUUAACACAUGCAAGUCGAGCGGAAAGGCCCUUCGGGGUACUCGAGCGGCGAACGGGUGAGUAACACGUGAGUAAUCUGCCCCUAGCUCUGGGAUAGCUCCGGGAAACCGGGAUUAAUACCGGAUACGACCACUUUAGACAUCUGUUGUGGUGGAAAGAAUUUCGGCUAGGGAUGAGCUCGCGGCCUAUCAGCUUGUUGGUGAGGUAACGGCUCACCAAGGCGACGACGGGUAGCCGGCCUGAGAGGGCGACCGGCCACACUGGGACUGAGACACGGCCCAGACUCCUACGGGAGGCAGCAGUGGGGAAUAUUGCGCAAUGGGCGAAAGCCUGACGCAGCGACGCCGCGUGGGGGAUGAAGGCCUUCGGGUUGUAACCCUUUCAGCAGGGACGAAGCGAAAGUGACGGUACCUGCAGAAGAAGCGCCGGCUAACUACGCGCCAGCAGCCGC